UGAGAUUUCUAGUUCUCGUACACCUGGCAGA
rnacentral:piRNA from 1 species